AGAAUGCCACCGUAAACCCCUGUUCACCCAACUGUUUCAACCCGUUACUUCACUGUGUGUGCUGACGAUUCCUUACCCCGGGAACGAUUAACCCAGUGAACCGACCCGUCCAUCGUGAGGAUAUAGCUGUUUGCAACCAGCUCGCCGGGGAUCGGGGCAUGAGAUGAUGACUACUAGGUCAGGUCCAAGAACCAAUGAUGGGGAAUUUACAAGGACGUCACAAAAAAUCAAAGAAGCCCACUGGCACUCAGCCUGCUGAUGAUGCUGGUACUUCCAUCAGGCCGUCUACAAGACAGAUCCCCCAAACAUCUGGAGUUACAUCAAGGGAGGAGGUUGGCACUCAGCCUGCUGAUGAUGCUGGUGCUUCCACCAGGCC